CCUACGUGUGACAGCAGUGAGGAAUAUUGGUCAAUGGCCGCGAGGCUGAACCAGCCAAGUCGCGUGAGGGAUGACUGCCCUACGGGUUGUAAACUUCUUUUGUAGGGGAGUAAAGCGAGGCACGUGUGCCUUUUUGAAAGUAUUUUAUGAAUAAGCAUCGGCUAACUCCGUGCCAGCAGCCGCGGUAAUACGGAGGAUUCGAGCGUUAUCCGGAUUUAUUGGGUUUAAAGGGUGCGUAGAUGGUUCGGUAAGUUAGUGGUGAAAGGCUGCGGCUCAACCGCAACACUGCCUGUGAUACUGGCAGGCUAGAGUAUAGUUGAGGUAGGCGGAAUGCGUGGUGUAGCGGUGAAAUGCAUAGAGAGCACGCAGAACUCCGAUUGCGAAGGCAGCUUACCAAACUGCGACUGACAUUGAGGCACGAAAGCGUGGGGAGCAAACAGGAUUAGAUACCCGAGUAGUC
rnacentral:rRNA from 1 species